rnacentral:lncRNA from 1 species
GCCUUGCUCAUUUGCUAGCCUAAUUUGAUGGGCAUUUGCAUUAGGUCAAGCCACCCAGAAGCAGCCAAAAAGAGGCACCAUAUCUGGUGUACACGCCAAAUAACUAAAAGUCCAACUUAAGAAGGACUCUUGGUGCUAAUAUGCAGAAUGCAUGUGUACUUUAUUUGUGGCGUAGAGAAGAACUAAGAAUCCUUCUGUUUUGGACCUCUAUUUUUUAUAACAAGUAGAUCAGAUAAUGAGCCACCUAGCAUACCUUUUGAAGCAUGAAAAAUCUAUCAGAUUGUGCAUAAAAAAAUUGCUUGAAUCAUUGCUGCACGUGUGACAGUUUUUUCUAGAUGUGCGAAGGGACGCGAAGACUCUUUCUGUUUAGGGAGUCUUAAGCAAC